rnacentral:rRNA from 1 species
AGCGAACGCUGGCGGCAGGCUUAACACAUGCAAGUCGAACGCCCGUAGCAAUACGGGAGUGGCAGACGGGUGAGUAACGCGUGGGAACAUGCCCUUUGGUUCGGAAUAACUCAGGGAAACUUGAGCUAAUACCGGAUAAGCCCGAGAGGGGAAAGAUUUAUCGCCGAAGGAUUGGCCCGCGUCCGAUUUGCUAGUUGGUGAGGUAAUGGCUCACCAAGGCGACGAUCGGUAGCUGGUCUGAGAGGAUGAUCAGCCACACUGGGACUGAGACACGGCCCAGACUCCUACGGGAGGCAGCAGAGGGGAAUAUUGGACAAUGGGGGCAACCCUGAUCCAGCCAUGCCGCGUGAGUGAUGAAGGCCCUAGGGUUGUAAAGCUCUUUCGGCGGGGACGAUAAUGACGGUACCCGCAGAAGAAGCCCCGGCUAACUUCGUGCCAGCAGCCGCGGUAACAC